rnacentral:sRNA from 1 species
UUUGGGUCUACCAGUAGACCAAUGGUCAUAU